UAGUGCCUGUAAAACAGCAUCUAUUAAGGAAAUGAUAAUACAAACAGGCAGGACAUGCAGCUGCAUCAGAAGGGUUAACUGUCUGGGUCCAGGAGAGUGAGAAGUGUGAUCCGUGUGCGUGUGCAUGUGUGUGUGUUGGAGGGGUGUCAGUAAGUGCAGCUCCAUAAUGUCAGUCUUGAAGUGUGAACAUGUUUGAAGGCAGCAGUGAGGGAGAGGGAGGAGGAGAUAGCGAAGGAGGGCAUGUGAGAGAGGAGUGGAGGAGGGGUGUCUGGUAGACAGAGAAAAGGAAGGAGGGAGAGAGAAAGAGAGGGGGGAGGAGAGACAAGCCGAGUGUGCACAAUAUUCAUUCAAACUGACAGAGGCUGUGUGUGUCCUGGUUUGCACUUCCCAUUGCUCUUCGGUCUCUCUCGACCUCGCUCUCUCUCUCUCUCUUUCGCUCUCCUCUCUCUCUCUCUCGCUCCCUCUCUUUCUCUCUCUCCAGACAGUCUGCAGUUUACAGCAGCAGAAAGGAGACACCGGAGAGCCACUGGAGAGGAAGAAAGAAAGGAGGAAGAUUGUGAAAAAUGACAAGGAGAAGGAGCUGGAGGAAGCAAAACAGGGAGAAGGGAGGAAGUGAUGAAAAGUAGGGAUUUGAAGAAGAGUAAAAGAUGAGAGCAGAGGAUGAAAGAAAGAGAGAGAGAGUGGUGGCUUGGCUUUUCAAUGGGAGGGGUAAAAAAAAAAAAAAAAGGAGAUAUAGAGACGGAGGAAUGCAGAGAAAGAGGGACGGCGACACUACUGCUGAAGAGGAUGUUGGGAUGCAAUGCCAAGGAGGAACGCCCAAAGAGGCAGAGGAAGAGCGCAGAGUUCAGCAUGGAAACGGACGUAGUGAAGAACAGCGAGGUGGCAUGCUUACACAAAAGUAGUGAGAUGCAGACUUGGUCACACAUCCAGCAGCAAGCGGGGGGGAAGGGCCGUCACCAUUUCUGCGGCUCAGAUUAAUGGCAGCUAUGGAGAAAACAUCUGACAACUGUGCCUUUCCAUUAGCGGAGCUAUUGGAUAAUUAUGCAGGUAACGAAUAAACUAAAUGUGCCAAAGUGUGUCCUUGUGUGUAAACUGUAUCUGUGUUGGUGGAAUCAGCUGGCCUGUAGCACUGUGCUCAAAUUAAUUUAAUCUGAACCCCAUCUGAAAACCCCAUCAGUCGCAGUCUAAAUCAGAUCUGAAGUGCUGAGUUUUCUGUGUAGGAAAUGGAUAAAUCAUUAACAUACUGACUGGUUUCUUCUGUUGAUAAAUUCGUUAGAGAAAAAAAACAAAUUUUCCUUUGUUUAACUUGCUUGCACAUGGUAUUUUAUACUAUAAUGGUACAUGUCAUGGUAUUGCUGUACAAUGGCACAAUGCUACAGUACCAUGGUACCAUGCCAUAUUACUAUGCGAUUGUACCAUCAUCAUUGUAGUGACCAAAACACCCUGCCAGUCUUUUAUGGCAUUAUCAUGGUCCUUUUUUUGUAAAUGAAGGCAGAUGCAGAAACUACACUGACCAAUUCAAACUAGUGGAACAGAAACUGACCUAACAUUUCAGCUCUAUAGCUCCACCUGGAAAAUGUUAGUGUGCAGUUAGUUUUGCAUCAACAUACCGACCUUCCAGGUUGUCUACAACUGUUAUUACUGAGUCCUCUUUUUCUUAGGUUUUCCUGUUCAUUUUCUAUGAGUUUUUAUGUCGUUAUAGCAGGCUAGCUACAGUGCAUUUACUCAUUUAUAUACACUCACCGAGCACUUUAUUAGGAACAGCUAUGCACCUGCUUAUUCCUGAAAUUAUCCAACCAGCCAAUCAUGUCAGCAUGCCAGACAGCUGGUGUGAGUAUUUCUGUUGCUGAUCUCCUGGGACGUUCAUGCUCAUCGGUCUCUAGAGUUUUUCUCUCAGAGUGGAGCCAAAACCAAAAACCAUCCAGACAGAAAGGCUACGGUCACUCAGAUAACCACUCAGACACAACUGUAGUGAGCAGAAAAGCAUCAGCGUGACCAACAUGUCCAACCUUGAGGUAGAUGGACUACAACAGCAGAAGACCAAGUCAGGUUCCACCUUCUGUCACCAAGAACAGAAACUGUAAGAACGUAGCUGGUUCUGAUAACUCUGAUUGUCUGCUGAGGCAGCAGGGGCAUGAGCAGUCCAGGAUGCUACUGCUGGUGUAAUGGUGCCCUUUGGGCCCCUUAGUAUCAACCAAACAUGGUCUGAAUGCUGCAGUCUAUCUGAGUAUUGUAGCUGACCAUGUCAGACCACAGUAAUUGCUACUUCCAGCAGUAUAAUGCUCCAUGUCUCAAAGCUAAAGUCAUCUCAAACCGUUUUCAUCAACAUGACACUGAGUUCAGUGACCUUCAGUGACCUCCCCAAGUCUACAAAUGUGAAUCCAGUGGAACACCUUUGGGCUGUGGUAGAGCAGGAUAUUGGCAGCAUGAAUGUGCACGUGUCACGUCAAAAUGCAGCGGUCUCAGAGGAAAGUUUCAACAUCUGGUGGAAUCAAUGACAAGAAGAACUGAGGCUGUUUGAGAGCAAAGGGAGGAAGUACCCAAUGUCAGUGUGGUGUUCCUAAUAAAGUGCUCAGUGAAUGUUUAACGUAUAUAUGCCAGUAGUUGAGUGAUAAUUGGUUCAGAUCAUUAUCUCAAAAGUUCAUCUUGACCUAAUAAAUGAUAUUGUUGUGGUGCUCAUGUCUAUUUUUCAGACUGAUAAUUUAAUUGUUAUGUUUCAGAGAUGUUUUUGAUAUCACUUGAAAUCAUGUGACUUAAAGGUCAUAGGUUCUUAGGUUGUUUUUAAGUCUCAAAUAAUACAUAUUAAAAUAUAUAUUAAAGCAGUUUGUGGUUGCUGUAAUCCUUCCUCCUCUCCACACUGGCUGGUGUGUGAUCUCUGCUUAGCGCAACCCCAGUGUAGGAGAGGGAGGACAAAGCAGCUAAAAUGGAAACAGAUUUGGCUGUUCCACACCACAUACACCACACUGGCCUCUUCCUACGUUUUAUUAAAAGCUUGAUGUCUGCAUUAACCGUCUGUUUCACACAUCGGGAUAGCUGCUUCCUCAUCAACGGUUCCUCUGGGAAAAUCCACACGUCACAGUCCUCCACCGCUGCAGGUUCCCGGUUCACAUUCAUCGCUGUCGGUGGGUUGGUGAUGCUGUCAACUCGCCGGUCGAUGAAUGACAACCGUGUCCGUGCGUGGCCACGCUUCCUGGCGUCUUGCCUUCAUCAUCUGUAUUGGCUGUUUGCAUCUGCCCAGUUAAUGGGUUGUUUGUGUUUUUUUCAACAUGGAAUAUCUUGUCAAAGAGACAAAUAAAGAAUCUGGAACAACAUCCUGUAAUUGUUGUGUACUGUGUGUUACAGUGGUAAGAAAAAGUACGUUUUCUGCAUCAUACAACAUGAUUUGGUCCGAGCCAUACUUUACCUAGUGAGCAAAAUGAAACUUCUGGCCCAACAUAUGCCUGGAUCCUCGGCCUGAGUCUGGCACAUAUACGUCCCUAUCUGAGUCUGGCUGUUAUCCUCUGAUGCUGACUGACGGCCAGAUGAUUUUCUGUGUGUGCGCCAGAAUUGGUCAAACUGUGGAAGCAGCAUCUUAAAAUCAUGUUGUAUAUGGGCCGGUUUUGGCCCGUGGAACCGGGUGUAUAGUGGGUCAGAGGAAAACAAACCUGUGGCCCAAGUAUGGGCUGGAUUGAAUCUGCGAUCUGGGUUAGGAUGGUGUGAAUGUCUCUCUUUUGAAAUCCUUCCACAGCAUCUCUACAGCGUUACAGUCUGGGCUAGGAUCGAACCAAAAGGUGCAUUUUCCUUCUUUGAAGCCAUUCUGUUAUAAAUGUACUUCACUGUUUAGGGUCAUUGUCCUGCGGUAUCACCAGCUUCUACUGAGCUUCAGCAGGUGGACAAACACCCUGACAUUAUCCUGGAAGCAUCCUGACACCAUGAUAAACUGGGGAAUUCAUUUUCUCCUCCAUGAUGGCAGUGUUGUCGUGCUGGUAUGUGAGGUGCUGUGUGUCCUUCCCAAACAACUUAACCUUCUCCCAGUUGUGGAGUUUUGUUUUGUCACUUUUUUUUCUUCAAUGAGCGGCCUGUGGUUUUGGUGCUG